GACGAACGCUGGCGGCGUGCUUAACACAUGCAAGUCGAACGGAAAGGCCCUGCUUUUGUGGGGUGCUCGAGUGGCGAACGGGUGAGUAACACGUGAGUAACCUGCCCUUGACUUUGGGAUAACUUCAGGAAACUGGGGCUAAUACCGGAUAGGAGCUCCUGCUGCAUGGUGGGGGUUGGAAAGUUUCGGCGGUUGGGGAUGGACUCGCGGCUUAUCAGCUUGUUGGUGGGGUAGUGGCUUACCAAGGCUUUGACGGGUAGCCGGCCUGAGAGGGUGACCGGCCACAUUGGGACUGCGGUACGGCCCAGACUCCUACGGGAGGCAGCAGUGGGGAAUAUUGCACAAUGGGCGGACGCCUGAUGCAGCAACGCCGCGUGCGGGAUGACGGCCUUCGGGUUGUAAACCGCUUUCGCCUGUGCCGAAGCGUGAGUGACGGUAAUGGGUAAAGAAGCACCGGCUAACUACGUG
rnacentral:rRNA from 1 species